CAAGUCGAACGGGAUUAGAGUAGCAAUAUUCUAUGAUAGUGGCGACCGGGUGCGUAACACGUAUGCAAUCUACCUUAUACUGGGGUAUAGCCUCUCGAAAGAGAGAUUAAUCCCCCAUAACAAUGCGAAAUGGCAUCAUUUUGCAUUUAAAGCUCCGGCGGUAUUUGAUGAGCAUGCGUCCUAUUAGCUAGUUGGUGAGGUAACGGCUCACCAAGGCUACGAUAGGUAGGGGGUCUGAGAGGAUGAUCCCCCACACUGGUACUGAAACACGGACCAGACUCCUACGGGAGGCAGCAGUAGGGAAUAUUGGUCAAUGGACGCAAGUCUGAACCAGCCACGCCGCGUGAAGGAUGAAGGCCCCAUGGGUUGUAAACUUCUUUUGUUUGGGAAAAAACCCUCAUAUGUAUAUGAGGCUGAUUGUACCAAGAGAAUAAGGAUCGGCUAACUCCGUGCCAGCAGCCGCGGUAAUACGGAGGAUCCAAGCGUUGUCCGGAUUUAUUGGGUUUAAAGGGUGCGUAGGCGGAUGAUUAAGUCAGUGGUGAAAGCCGGCAGCUCAACUGUCGAACUGCCAUUGAAACUGAUCGUCUUGAAUGUAGUAGAGGUAGGCGGAAUGUAUCAUGUAGCGGUGAAAUGCUUAGAUAUGAUACAGAACACCAAUUGCGAGAGCAGCUUACUAUGCUAUUAUUGGCGCUGAGGCACGAAAGCGUGGGGAUCAAACAGGAUUAGAUACCCUGGUAGUCCACGCUGUAAACGUUGAAUACUCGAUGUUGGCGAUAUACAGUCAGCGUCCAAGAGAAAUCGUUAAGUAUUCCACCUGGGGAGUAC
rnacentral:rRNA from 1 species